rnacentral:rRNA from 1 species
UACGUAGGGUGCGAGCGUUGUCCGGAAUUAUUGGGCGUAAAGAGCUCGUAGGCGGUCUGUCGCGUCGGUCGUGAAAACCUGCAGCUUAACUGUGGGCGUGCGGUCGAUACGGGCAUGACUGGAGUUCGGCAGGGGAGACUGGAAUUCCUGGUGUAGCGGUGAAAUGCGCAGAUAUCAGGAGGAACACCGGUGGCGAAGGCGGGUCUCUGGGCCGAUACUGACGCUGAGGGGCGAAAGCGUGGGGAGCAAACAGG